rnacentral:lncRNA from 3 species
UUUUCCUCUAAUGUUGCUUUUCUAUCCUUUGCAUUAGCCAAACUACACUUGUAUAGAGUACCACAGGUUACCACAAAAAUAUCUGAAGAUUAUGCUCUUCACCCUCCUGUCCAUACCACUCGAGAUAAGUACAAAUUCGGCAUGCGUGUAAUUGAAGAAAUGAGGUCAUCUGCAAACAAGAAAACUUCUAUCGCUAUUACAGGCAAUUCCACAAAAUAA